UGAGGUAACCCGUGUAAGAGAUAGAGAAAGUAAACCGAGCAUUAAAUGGCAGUUUUCGUGAAUCCACGCAGAACUUCUCUGGCCUCAAUUGCUAAAUGUGGUCCAUAACUCCCCCUCCACCCCGCCCCCUGUGUCAGUCCAACCGCCUAGGCGUGAGCUGCAAUCCUCUUUGGAAUGCACCUUGCCAACAGGUGUGGCACCUGGAGGAAAAGAGGACACAUCCCUACUAGGGUCGCUCAGUGUGGCAUUCUCUCUGCUGCAGAUAGUUCUGGAAGGCCAGUAGGUGUCAGGGCAGCAUUUGACCUCCUUCAGGUGCUUAGAACCAAGCGUCUAGAAACCUGAUCCCUCCGUUUCUCUCGGGAAGCCGCCACUAUUGACUGUAAGCUGUAUUGGAGAGACCUUUUGGCUGAGUCUGCUUAUGACCUAACAGUUAGUCACCAACUGAAGCAGGAUACAGAAUCAGUAAGAGAAAUGUGUCAGCUUUUAAACAACUCUGUAGUGUUAUGAGCCAAUGCGCUUCAGAAAUAAAAAUAAGCAUACUAACGAGGAAGGUGUAGAACCCCGGAAAUGUUGCUUCUCACAUUUUGGAACGCCAUGCACAUAUACAUGGCUACUUCAAUAGAACUACUACUGCUCGCUCUCCCUCGUUUCUACAACUUUCUUUUUUUAAUUUUAAAAAAAAUCAGUGAUUGUUAGGUUUAAACCUCGGGUUCUGCUAAAAUGACAUUGUUGGUCUCAUUACAGCCUCUAGUGGACGGUUAACAUCAGUUUCCCGUAAAGGCUCUGCCUGGUUUUGUUUUCGUUGACUUGCUUUAUCAAGGUGAAGGUUAAUAGUUCAGAACAAAACCGGGUAAUACACCACCACCCCCCUCCUUGGGCUUUGCCACUUCUGAAAGGAAUAGAAGCUUGUUGACUCAGCAUAGAAGAGGUAUGGGUUGUGCGGCAGGUAUUAUUAUUAUUGCCGGCCUGUGAAUAAACAGAGCUUCUGCUAUUCGUUUGAGUUUCAGACAGCUUUCAUAAAAAAAAAACCCUCAAAUUCAUCUAAAAUAUUUUUAUAACAGAAAAUAUUGGUUGCCAUGUUUUUGGCUUCUCUGAGAUGUUUUUAUUCCAACUCAUAAUCUGCAAACUGUCCAAUCCACCUCCACUCUAUUUUUAGACAUCUUACAUUUAGAGAAUUUUCAGGGGAAUAAAAGCUAAUAUUGUAAUUAUUACAUUGGCACACGCAGUUAAUUUAUGUUAUUUUAACAACCUUAAACAUAUUAAAACACAUAAUUCAGAUUAGAGUUAGUCAAUUAAUUUAAAUGUUCCCUCAAGGAAGCCAAAUAUGUAUAUUACCCAAACAGUAACAACAAUUAAUAAGAAUUAUGACAUUUGCUUUCUUAGCCAUUAAGAUUAAAGCCAUAAACUGUCAUUAAAAUCUAUAACUAUUUCUUACUGUGAGAAGAAAGAUUAUCUUACCAUGUAGUAAGACAGUCUUCUCAGAAACCUGACCUUAAGUACAUACUAGGAUAAACCAGCCUUUGAAAGGAAAGGAAAUUGGGGGAUGAGGUCUUUGGGGCCUUCCUCCUCCCUGUGUUUUAGAUGGCUUAAACAACAUGGAAAAUAAUUUUAAUCCCUUUUAUCUAUUUUGUGAAUAUCUACUUUUGAAGGUUUAAAAGGGGCCAACAAGUAUGUAUUAGAAUAUAUUAUUUUAUGUUACACACUUACUUUUUAACAGGCAGUACUCAGAUUAGCAGCUGGGGCACCAAUAUCUGAAAGAUUUUUUAGAUUUUCAGAAUUAAGGGUUCCCCCCACCAGGCCUGUGAAAUCAGAAUCUACCUUUCAGCCAGCCUCCCAAGGGAAUUCUGAGAAGAACAUUGGCUUAUACUACAGGGCUCUGUCUAGAUUAAUUUGGCCAUAGAUGCAUAACUUACUACAUCUAUUUUUCCCCUUUUUUAUUAAUUAAUUUUUAAAAUUAAGUUUUCUUAUUUUUAAAAAAAAUCACAUUAGUCAAAUCAUUGCAACCUCAGUCUCAACCAACUGGGGGUGAAAGAAAAAAAAAUGUACUGAACAGGUUCAGACUUUUUUUUUCCUUGUCAUUAAUCCCUGAACAAGACAGUGUAACCAUUAUUACAUUGCAUUGACAUUGUGUCCAAUAUUAUAAAUAAUCCAGAGAUGAUCUGUAGUCAUAGAAGGACAUGCUAAGGUUGCAUAUAAAUACUGUGUGAUUUUAUAUAAGAAACUUGAACAUCCCAGAAUUCAGGAAUUGAAGAGGGGUCCUGGAACCCAUCCUCCCAGCCAAGGGAUGACUAUAUAUGCUUUGUAGAAAUAGGACGGUAUUCCAAAAGGGCCCUGAUUCAUGCACAUGUACACAUCAUCAUUGCCAAAGGAAACUGCCAAGUAGCUUGCUGGGGUCUUGAACAGGAACAUUUUUUUUCACAGCAGCAGAGGGAGCACAAGAGUUCUCAAUGAAACCAGGCCCUUUUCAAAUCGCUACAGAUUUUAAAUUGUUGUGUAUGUUUUCAUGGAAGGUAGCAUGUUAUAUAGUUCAAAACAAAGCAAAAUAAAACAAAACAAACAAGCAAAUUCAAAUAGCUUACCAGUUUAUAACAACUAAAUAAUCGAACAGAUUGUAAGUUAAAUAAAAUAAAGAUAUUAAGAGUUUUAGGCUUGAAUUCUUAAAAGGACUUCAAAAGUCAUGUUUAGAAAAGAUACCUUGGCUUUUCUCUAGUCAAAAAUUAAAAAUAAGGCAACUCUAAGAAGAGUGUAUCUGGAAAUGGAGUCAGUCCCCCCAACACUGCAUUAGAUAAAUUAAACAGAAGCCAAACAUGGGGGUGAAAGUUUGUGCACUUUUUACAAACUUUAGGGCAUUUGUUCUUAAUGCUUACAGUAGUGAGAAUUUAUGUUUCAAUUGUAUUUAUGUAGCAUUUUACACUUUUUACAGCUCUUCCUUAUUGCAUCUUUAAAACUUCAUGGAGGUGGAGAAGACACAUAUUACAAUCCAGGCCUCAAAAAAAGUAUGGGUUCAGAUUCUACUUUCCUAACAUGGAGUCAUUGAGUUGUUCCAAUAAUCCCAAGGUGUUUGCAAGUGGAGGGAAUCAUAAAGGGUAAAGAUUCCCCAACAUGUUUCAUCUUUUUACCAUUGACAAAGCAUAUUAGGGGAUCUUUAGCCUCUAACAUGCUUUAAAAGUUCCUAUAUAGUAGAUAUUUAAUAACUAUUUCAAUGAGAUUAAGAAUAUAAAUGAUGUCUUAAAUUGCUUUUUUAUGUAUUUAUCAUUCCUUUAUCAUCAGUUACUUAUUGCAUAUCAACAGUAAGUAGGCCUGAGAUCACAACAUUAAAUAAGAUAUCUUAACUUGCAAGGAGUACAAAGAAGAAAAAAAAAUCUAAUCUUUUAAAAAAACGUUAAUUUUUACCAUGGUGAAACACAAAAAUCAAAGUUGAUUGAUGUAUUGCUUUUCAGGAUCGGAUCAAACAGAGUUCCAAAUACGAGAAUUAAAUACUAGCAUCAUCAAAAAUUUGGGAGGCAGCAGGCAAUGGUCUAACUCUUGAGCAAGACUUGACUUACAAGCUAAUGCUAAUAUUUCAAAUUUGUAAGACAAACAAAAUGUGAAGAUAAAAAUGUGCAUUUUUAUCUGAAUGCCCCCUCUAUCAAAAAACAAAUCACAUAAAUUACAGUGGCAAACAUUUAUUUAUUUUUAUCAUUUAAAAAUUGUUAAAACGAAUUUCCUCCCACACUUUGGGAUCCAUUUGCCAAGUUUCUGCCUGGAGCAAUUUGUUAUGGCAGUGUAAUGAAUCCCAGAAAGUUUGAAUUUUUAGUGGAAAGACUGGCAGAACUUUCACUCUUCUAUUAGAAGGAGGGUGUAAUCUAAUGUGUGUCAUUUAAAAACCUGAGCAAACCAUAGUGUGCUUGCAAAACAAAUACUCUUUCCUUAGACUGCACUUCCAAUAAACCUAGGGAGACCAGAAAAGUAAAACAAACUAAAAAGAAAAGUGAAAAACCAUUCACACAAUAGACUCUGAGCUCAGCUGGCCACACCCAGGCUCAAGUCCCUGGGCUCCACACACAUCCAGGCCCAAUACUGUCUCAUGCAUGUUUCUGAAUCAUCUUUCUUGACCCUCGACCAAACUGUAGAAGAAGGGCUUCCUGGUCAUAAAAAUGACAUCACCAAUAGUCAAGAGUGGAAAGAAAGUCUUUGCAUUCCAGCAUCUGCCAACAGCUUAUUUUGAUUUAACAGUACACACAUUCAGCUGUUUCAGACAACACCCUGUCAGCAAUGUAAAACAGAAACAGGUAGUUCAAUCUACAUCUGCACUGUCCAAUGGUCCAGUGUGGCCCUUGAACACCUGAAAUAUGGUUAGUCCAAAUUGAGAUGCACUGUAAAUAUGAAAUAUGCCUCAAAUUUUAAAGACUUGGAGAGACACAGAGACACAUACGUGUAUAUAUACACAUAAUAUCUCAAUUUUUAUAUUGAUUGUUGAAAUGAAACUAUUCAGCAUAUGUUAGAAUUAAUAAAACAUAUUGUUAAAAUUCAUCUUACCUGUUUCUUUGAACCUUUAUGAAUGUGGCUCCUAUAAAAUUUAACACCAUGCAUACGGAAUAAUUGUGUAUUUUUUUUUUCUUUUCAGGUGCUGGGGAUCAAACCCAGGGCCUCAUGGAUUCUAGGCAAAUACUCUACCACUGAGCUAUACCAUGAGUCCCUGUAUAUAUUUCUUUUCUUACGUUUUUAUUGGUGCAUUAUAAUUAUGCAUAAUCAUGAGAUUCAUUGUGCCAUAUUCAUACAUGUACAUAAUUUGAUCAAUCUCGUCCCAUUCUUCUGCUCUACUGAUUUCCCUUCUGCUAUUAUUUUUUUAAUCAGUGCCUUAUAAUUAUAUAUAAAAGUGGAAUUCAUUGUGGUAUGUUCAUGUAUAAUUCUAACGGACAGCACUGGUAUAGAUAAUGGGUCUGAGGAGACACAGGAAUUAGCUCUAAAUAUCCAUAGUUGAAGACUUUAGAAUCCUAGCAUGGCUCUCUGCAGUAGUGCAUAGAUAACUUAGUUAUUUUUUCUACUUUUCUGUGCACCAAUAACCUGUGUAAUGUGGUGCUUAUCUCCCCUUAUAACAAUCACUGAAGGUUCACUGUGGGUAAAUGCACAAUCUAUCCAUUGGGGGAUGGGAGAUGGGCUCAUAAAAAU
rnacentral:lncRNA from 1 species